rnacentral:misc_RNA from 1 species
GAUGAAGAACGUAGCGAAAUGCGAUAAGUAAUGUGAAUUGCAGAAUUCAGUGAAUCAUCGAAUCUUUGAACGCACAUUGUGCCCGCCAGUAUUCUGGCGGGCAUGCCUGUUCGAGCGUCAUUUCAACCCUCAAGCCCCAGCGGCCUGGUGUUGGGGACCAGCGACCUCGCCCGAGCCCGCCCUCCGGGGCGCGUGCCCGGUGCGUCCGCCGCCCCCGAAAUGAAUUGGCGGCCUCGUCGCGGCCUCCUCUGCGUAGUAGCACAACCUCGCAAGCGGGAGCGCGACGCGGCCACUGCCGUAAAACGCCCAACUUUUUUAGAGUUGACCUCGGAUCAGGUAGGAAUACCCGCUGAACUUAAGCAUAUCAAUAAGCGGAGGA